rnacentral:rRNA from 1 species
GACGAACGCUGGCGGGGUGCCUAAUACAUGCAAGUAGAACGCACAGUUUAUACCGUAGCUUGCUACACCAUAGACUGUGAGUUGCGAACGGGUGAGUAACGCGUAGGUAACCUGCCUGGUAGCGGGGGAUAACUAUUGGAAACGAUAGCUAAUACCGCAUAAUAUUGAUUAUUGCAUGAUAAUUGAUUGAAAGAUGCUAUUGCAUCACUACCAGAUGGACCUGCGUUGUAUUAGCUAGUAGGUGAGGUAACGGCUCACCUAGGCGACGAUACAUAGCCGACCUGAGAGGGUGAUCGGCCACACUGGGACUGAGACACGGCCCAGACUCCUACGGGAGGCAGCAGUAGGGAAUCUUCGGCAAUGGACGAAAGUCUGACCGAGCAACGCCGCGUGAGUGAAGAAGGUUUUCGGAUCGUAAAGCUCUGUUGUAAGAGAAGAACGGGUGUGAGAGUGGAAAGUUCACACUGUGACGGUAUCUUACCAGAAAGGGACGGCUAACUACGUG